rnacentral:rRNA from 1 species
CCUACGGGAGGCAGCAGUAGGGAAUUUUCCGCAAUGGGCGAAAGCCUGACGGAGCAAUACCGCGUGAGGGAUGACUGCCUGUGGGUUGUAAACCUCUUUUCUCAAGGAAGAAGUCCUGACGGUACUUGAGGAAUAAGCAUCGGCUAACUCUGUGCCAGCAGCCGCGGUAAUACAGAGGAUGCAAGCGUUAUCCGGAAUCACUGGGCAUAAAGCGUCUGUAGGUGGUUUGGUAAGUCUGCUGUUUAAAGACUGGGGCUCAACCCCAGAAAACGCAGUGGAAACUGCCAAACUUGAGUGUGGUAGAGGUAGAGGGAAUUCCUAGUGUAGCGGUGAAAUGCGUAGAUAUUAGGAAGAACACCAAUGGCGAAAGCACUCUACUGGACCAUAACUGACACUGAGAGACGACAGCUAGGGGAGCAAAUGGGAUUAGAUACCCCAGUAGUCCUAGCCGUAAACGAUGGAUACUAGAUGUUGCACGUAUUAACCCGUGCAGUAUCGUAGCUAAGGCUUAAGUAUCCGCCUGGAAGUACGCUCGCAAGNGNGAACNCGAAGAUUGACGNGNGAGAGNGCGAGACGACGACGAGGGAGAG